rnacentral:tRNA from 1 species
GUCUUUGUAGUAUAUACAAUACCUUGGUCUUGUAAACCAAAAAAGGAGAACACAUGCCCUCCCUAAGACU